rnacentral:rRNA from 1 species
AUUGAACGCUGGCGGCAGGCCUAACACAUGCAAGUCGAGCGGAGCGGCGGACGGGUGAGUAAUGCUUGGGAAUCUGAAACUUGGAGGGGGAGAACGACGGGAAACGGGAGCUGUUACCGAUUCCUCUCAGCAUAGCAUAGGCCCGAUUAGCUAGUUGGUGGGGUAAAGGCCUACCAAGGCGACGAUCCGUAACUGGUCUGAGAGGAUGAUCAGUCAAACUGGAACUGAGACACGGUCCAGACUCCUACGGGAGGCAGCAGUGGGGAAUAUUGGACAAUGGGCGAAAGCCUGAUCCAGCCAUGCCGCGUGUGUGAAGAAGGUCUUCGGAUUGUAAAGCACUUUAAGUUGGGAGGCGUUACCAACAGAAUAAGCACCGGCUAACUUCGUGCCAGCCGCCGCGGUAAUUC